rnacentral:misc_RNA from 1 species
CGCAGCCGCGGUAAUUCCAGCUCCAAUAGCGUAUAUUAAAGUUGCUGCAGUUAAAAAGCUCGUAGUUGAAUUUCGGGACUAAUAUGUCGGUCGUGCCUCGGUACGUACUGGCUUAUUGGUUUCUCCUUUCUGAAGAACCAUGAUGUCAUUUAUUUGGUGUCGUGGGGAAUCAGGACUGUUACUUUGAAAAAAUUAGAGUGUUUAAAGCAGGCUCACGCUUGAAUACAUUAGCAUGGAAUAAUGAAAUAGGACGUUUGAUUCUAUUUUGUUGGUUUCUAGGAUCGACGUAAUGAUUAAUAGGGAUAGUUGGGGGCAUUAGUAUUCAAUUGUCAGAGGUGAAAUUCUUGGAUUUAUUGAAGACUAACUACUGCGAAAGCAUUUGCCAAGGAUGUUUUCAUUAAUCAAGGACGAAAGUUAGGGGAUCGAAGACGAUCAGAUACCGUCGUAGUCUUAACCAUAAACUAUGCCGACUAGGGAUCGGAUGAUGUUAAUUUUUAAUGUACUCAUUCGGCGCCUUAAC